UUUUUUUUUUACCUUCCACCAAAGGUCAGUGUUGAGUAGUCCCAAAGUUGCUCUCAGAACACCCGGGUUGGUUCUCUGGCUUUCCGGUUUCCUGGUCCUACCUCCACAGCCCCCUGGCCUUGGCUUCACUCUAGUUACCUAACCACACAUAAAAAAAAGAAAGAUACAAGAGGUUUUGCCACCAAGUUCUACAGAACAUCCACAGAUCAAAAAACUCCAAUUUUACCCAAACUUCUCCAAAACAUGACUAGGAGUAUAUUAGAAAGGGUGAUUAUAGAUCAAACUCAUUCAGGGACAUCGAUGUAAAACUCAUAAACAAGGCCAGGCAAAUCUCCCUCUGACCACCCGUGCCCUGCUCCUCCCCUCCUCUGAACUCCCCUGGUGCUCUCCAUCUCCGCCCCACUGUAUCGUCCCCGUCUCUCAUCGCCUCCUUCUCCAGAGGAAGAGUGUGAAUCCCAACUGGUCAAUAUCUAACUCUCCUCUGUUGGACGGCUGCAUAACCUCGGGUCAACCGUUAGCCCUUUCAGCCUCAGUUAAUCUGAAAACUGGGGACCGUGUCUUCUUUACAAUGUUUCUAGAUUUUAGGAGAUAUAAGGACAAAAGUAGACUUAUGAGUACUUGAAGAGCCCCAAUAAUAAAUAUAUCAACACAUUCCCCCCAAAAAGGCCAUGCCUUCUUCAAGGCAAUUGAUGGGUCUCAUUGGUCUUUCUGUUCUAAAAGUACCAAACUCAAGGGUUAUAAAAAUGAAGAGGUUCUCCAUCUUUGACCUUGACUGCACCUAUCUUGUACUGGGUCACUGCAAGUUAGGAUCUGGGGGUUAGUUAAUGAUUUCAAAUGGUCAAGUUCUUAGUCCUUUCUGAAUCCCUCAAUCAGUGGCAAGGUAAUAAAACUCAUAACCCUUCUCAGUUACGUUGCUUAUAGAACAGCCAAUUCCCAGAGAUACUUCAGCAGAAUGUGAAAAGUGAUCUUGACCAAGCAGAUCUGGUUCCACCACAGCUUAGUAGUUAAAGGAAGCAUAUCCUACCAACACUGAUCAAAAACCCAACAAGGAAAGAUUCAGAUAGAAAUUUUUGUCCUACAGGACACUCAGAAAUUUGAACAUAACGUCUUAUAAAUAAAUAAACAAACACACACCCACAUGCACACACACCAGAAUGUCCUUGAGAGAUGCGAUGAGAUCAUUCAUAUGAAGUCCUACAGUUGUGAGUGAAAAAUUAACAUCAGGCCAGGUUCCUGUAGGCCCACCUAGGGAUACAGCAUUCCCUUACAACUGCCGAGUAAAGCUAAAUGUGGGGCGUGGUCUCUGCUUUGCUCCAUGUGUGGGAUGCCCCCCGGGUUGGGGAGCCUCGAGCUGGUGCACGCCCUUGGGUCUGCAUGACCAGGCCAAUGGAAAUAAUCAGCAGAACACAGAAGCUGCAGCUUCUCAGCAGCCUCUGGCCCUCCUCCACAGCAGCCAAACACACCUUUCGUGGGUGAAGGGACAAAGGAAACCACGUAUUUGAGCAGCUGUUGGAUCUGCCAAGGGCAUGAAGGACGUACCGGCCAUGUCUCCUGCCCUGUGUCCUCCCUCAAAGCAAAAUGAAGAAGUCUUAGAUUAAAGCCCGUAUGUGUCCAGUGCGUCUGUCAACCCCAUUCAUUGUCCACAUAGUGGCGUCCCAUGGAUGCUAUUACCAGGAUGAGAUCCUAAAGAAGUGUUUAGACAGUCAAGUCAUGCAAAGAUUGGCCCUGCAGAUAGAGCUACCCAUCACUAGAUUCUCAUGAGGAAAACCUAGAAAUAACAAAGCGCUGUUUACUUUCUAUAUUAUAUCCAGUGACUUUUUGGGUGAGGAAAAAUAUAAAGAGCUUGGGUGAGAAUAAAUUGAUGCAAAAUAAGCCACCAGUAGGACACAUGGCCAAGGCAAAUAAAACAACAGAUGUUUAAAGAUAACUUUAUGACUUGGGAAAAAUAAGAAGUGAGAAGAGAGAAAGUGAAGGGCUUUGUUUUUCAGAACCUGAUGGAGAGCUAACACAUGGUCACUUAGGGCGGGGUAAAGACAACUGGAGAGGGUGCCUGGGUUAGGAGGAGAUCAGGAGACAAGGGUGGCACAUGUCAGAGCAAUCCUGAUUUUCCCCUCACAGGGUGGAUGGGGAUGGGGUGAGUGCCACAAUGGGAAGUACCUACACCUAGGCGGAGGGAUAAAAACUAGCUCUUUCCCAAGCAUAAGGAUAAACUAGAUAAUCACUUGCUGUGGAGGGAGGAGGAAGGCAAGAGGGAGAAAGCAAUAUCAUGACAGAAGUCAGAAAAAUAAGAUGGCAACUCACUUCUACUCAGAAAUAGCAAACCAUAAAAGGCCCAGCAACCUCUGAGAAACGACAUCUCCAAACGACAAAGCAUGAGGGCCACACCUGGACCCUGCUCAGAAACAGCUAAAAUCAUGCACAGAAGUAGAAAUAAUUGUAGCCUCACAAGUUCCUUCAUGAUGUCAGCCUCCAAGCAGUGACCAACACACAGGAUACGAGAGGCACCUGGCCUCAUGCUACAGGUCAUCUUAGAGCCAGUAUCAGCCAAGAGCACAUAAAAAUCACUGUGCUGGUUGAUUUUAUUUUUCAAGAAUACAUGUAUUGUGUUCUCAUGGACCCACACUGCUUAAUAUUUGGAGAAUAUGGAAAGCACAAAGGACAAAAAUAAAAAUUAUUUAUAAAAGCCACUAUUUUAGGGUGCCCCAGGUGGCUCAGUCGGUUGGGUGUCCAACUCCUGAUCUCAGCCUGGAUCUUGAUCUCAGGGUUGUGAGUUCAGGCUCCAAACUGGGCUCGAUGCUGAGUAUGGAAAAGAAGAUGAUGAGAAGAAAGAAGAAGAAGAAGAAGAAGAAGAAGAAGAAGAAGAAAAGAAGAAGAAGAAAGGAGAAGGAGAAGGAGAAGAGAAGGAGAAGGAGAAGGAGAAGGAGAGCCACUAUUUUUAUAUUCAAAGAAAAACUACUUUCUACCUAAACCUUGCAUUCCCUCUCCAGUACUGAAAUCAGGGGUGCAAAUAAAGUACGAUCACCAAAUCUUCGGGAACUAUGACUUCUCCAGGCCCUCUGAAAUUCCUGGGAGGACAAAAUGUUUACGGAGUGUCAAUAGGUGUUUAUAGAAUUAUUGGGGAAUGGCAUUUAGGGUGUUUUGCAAACUUUAGACGCACCAGACCUUUCAGAAUCACCCACAGGGCUUGCUGAACUACAGAUUGCUUAACUGUGCUCCAGAAGACUCUUCUUCAGAUUCUUAUGGGGCCUGAGAAUUUGCAUUUCCAAAAAUUCUCAGGUGACGCUGAUGCUCCUGGUCCCAGAACUUCACUUGGGGGACCACCAACUCAGUUAAUAUCACCUUAGGGAGCACCUCCUUUAACGGCUCCCAAAUUUUAUCAAACUUAUCUGAAAUGCUGUUUUAAAAAAAGUUAUCUUUCCCCCACUGCACUCAGAUGUUCACUGACAGAUGAGUGUAUAAAGAAGAUGGGGUAUAUAUGUCACAUAUUGUAUCGUGUGUGAUUCUAUUGUAUAUGCACACACACAGUGGAAUAUUGCUCAGCCAUCAAAAAAAUGAAAUCUUGCCAUUUACGACGAUGUGGGUGGAAGUAGAGGAUAUUGUGUUGAGUGAAAUAAGUCAACCAGAGAAAGACGAUUAUCCUAUGAUCUCACUCAUAUAUGGAAUUUAAGAAACAAAACAGAGGAUCAUAGGGGAAGAGAGGGAAAAAAAUAAAACAAGAUGAAAUCAGAGAGGGAGGCAAACCAUGAGAAACUCUUAAUCAUAGGAAACGAGCUGGGGGGAGGGGGUCCUGGGUGAGGACAUUAAGGAGGGCACUGACAUAAUGAGCACUGGCUGUUACAUAAGACUGAUGGUCACUGGCCUCUACCUCCGAAACCAAUAAUACGUUGCAUGUUAAUUAAUUGAAUUUAAGCAAAAAUUUUUUUGAAUUAUCUGAAAUGCUAUUUACAAAUACAGAUGUCCUAACCCCCCUGCAGUCUCAUGAGAUCAGUCAUAGCUGGAAGCUUCAGAACACAUAUGAGUUACUGCAGGUUUUUGCCAGAAAGGUAAAUUCCCAAAAUCUAUCCCAACUUAACAAGUGCCGCCAGUGGAUUCAUAGAAACCCACACUUUGGAAAACCUUAAAACAGGUCCUCGGGACGCUGAUGAGGAGGGAGUGAAGCAAGCGUCUAGUUUUCCUUCAGUUAGCUUCACCUCAACUGUUUUACCUUAGAGCCUUUCCUUUAAAAUUACCAAUAUUAUGAAUCCUCUGUGCCCUUUGAUCUCAAGUGUAAGUCAUGAUUCUAAAUAAGAAAUCCGAUGUGCAUAGGAGCCACCCAUUAAAUGUCAUCCUUGACAUUUCAAUGUCCUUGACAAAUCACUGAGGAAUACAAAAAUGAAUCCAAAUCCUGCUUCUCUUCGUAUAAUCUCCUGCUAUUUCCAGCGUCUGUAUAAUAUAAGCAUCUGAAAACAUUUAUGUUCUUUGUGCUGGUAGCUUGGUCUUUUGAGGCUCAGGAAUGACCUAAAAGAAAACGGAGAGAGCACUCCACCUAGCGUGGCAUUGGGCCAGGUUCCAGGAUCAGCAGGCCCAACAAAGCCUUUCCAAACGAGUGGGGAGAAAACCUUCACCCGACGUAGCGUUUCACCCUUCUCUGUCAGCUUUAGCUCCUUCUAGACGUCAUAGUACAACAGGAGAAAAGAGACGAGAUAAAUUUGUUCGCCACCAUGGCAUUUUGAGUCCUCCCAGAUCUGCCAAGAGAGACUUCUCUUCAGGGAACAGCCUCAUUCCAGGUUUCUCCAUUGUUGCCUCUCACUGGGGGCAUAAGAUGUGUGGGACCAAGGGGACAAGCCCCCAAGAACCCAAGCCCCCAGAAUUAUCUGCCCAAAUGGCACCGAGCUCCCAUCCAAGCCCUUCCGGAGUCUACACUCCCACGUGUAUUUACCACUGGGCCCCGUGCGUGGUGGCCCGGUUGGGUACUGGGAAUACGGAUAGAGCUUGGACAUGUCAUCCGUAGCACCCACAUGCAUGCACUCCAUGAGUGGGGGGUCCCUGAUGAUGCAGGUCAGAGUGGGGCUGGAAAAAGAGGAGAAACAGGCCACGGGCCUCAGGAAGGAGCAUGGAGGAGUGUUGGCUGGCGGCCCAUACCCUCGCUGGAGCUCUGAGGGCUGAGGGUGCUAAUCAAAUCCAUCCUUCUAUCUCGAAUGAAAGCCGGCUUAUCAAAAGAGGAGGGCAGGGCCUAUCCUAAUUAAGCUUCUUCAGUUGAUUUAUAACUUCUGCAGAUAUGGCCGAUAUGCCUCCACCUGUCCUCUUGCUCCAGUUCCAAACACACGAGGGAGAAUCAGACCCGCAGCCCUUGGGGCUCAGCUCAGAGGGGCUCGUGCUGCACAUCCUCUGAUCCCCCUGGGAGCUCUCAGGACCUUGUCUUGUUCUGCAGCUAAGCCUUGAAGGAACUGGGUCUUACGAGCCAUCGUGGUUCUUGGCUCACCCCUCAAGGUUCACCUUCACUAAGUCAAGCAAAUAGCCAGACUUGUAUAACUGUUGCUUGUCAGCUCAGAGAGCAGUGGAACAAAAGAAGUCGAGAUCAUCUCCAGGGGGUCUGCCUGGAUAGAGCAAGAAAGGCUAAACAGACAACUCUAGCACAGUUCACCUCUGCGUGACCUUGACUCCAAUCCCAGAUGCUUAAAUCCCAAAUUCACUCUCAAUCCUGAUGGAAGCCACACCAACCGUUUACUUUUAUUUUCCAGUUUUCUCCUGUGUAAACGUCUAAUAUUUAUUCGGAGAUUAUCUAUUAACACGUGUUACUAAUUUAUCAUUUGCCUUAAGGAUCUUGGGUGGCUCCUUUCAGCAAAUAUUUGACGACCUCGGGAUACAGCAGGAAAUACAACAGUGAACAAGAAAGGCUUAUCUUUACCUUUGAGAAACUCACAGGCUGGCAGGGACAAGCACAUCGAACAGGCACACGUAAGGAAUUCCGCAAGUCAUUGAUUGCAAUUCUCACAGGUGUUUCAGAAGAAAGUAUGGGAGCCCAAAGGGGCGCUAAGAGGGGACAGAUCGAGCGUCCCUGAGGCCAUGGGACUUAAGCCGAGGGACAUGAAGCAGCACCAGCCAAAGGCAAGCCUUCGAGAGGAAAACCCUGGGCCUCGAGGAGGGAAGGAACCCGGCACAGUGGAGGAACAGCAAUGA
rnacentral:lncRNA from 1 species